rnacentral:sRNA from 1 species
AGGUAAGUGCUUAUGCUGCUGCUUUGAGGGCCACACACCUUGAGGAUUAGGAAGAGUACUCAUACUGGAAGAGUAUUCAGCAUGGACUGGAAUCCUGCAUAUAUAUCUGAGCUCUGUGUUCUGUAGAGACGGGGUUUCACCACGUUGCCCAGGCUGGUCUCAAACUCCUGAGCUCAGGCAAUCUGCCCGCCUCGGCCUCCCAAAGUGCUAGGAUUACAGAAGGUGCCUGCUUCCCCUUCACCUUCCACCAUGAUUGUAAGUUUCCUGAGGCCUCCCCGGACAUGUGGAACUGUGAGUCAAUUAAAUCUCUUUUCUUUAUAAAUUACCCAGUCUCAGGUAGUAUCUUUAUAGCGGUAUAAAAACAGACUAAUACAAACAGGUAGCUCUAAAUUGUGAGUUUUUCUUAACUCCUUUGAUCUUCUGUGAUAGCGAUUUUUCACAUUUCACACUUCCCUAGUGCCAAAUAUCCACCUCCAGCAGCUGUUUUGCCUCUUUCUUAUCUUGCCCCUUGGAAGAAUGUCAUCAUCA